rnacentral:rRNA from 1 species
ACAGUCACACAUUAGAUACCCGGGUAGUCCUGGCCGUAAACGAUGUGGACUUGGUGUUGGAAUGGCCCUGUGCUGUAGGGUAGCCGUUAAACUCGCUGCCUGGGGAGUACGGUCGCAAGGCUGAAACUUAAAGGAAUUGGCGGGGGAGCACUACAACGGGUGGAGCCUGCGGUUUAAUUGGACUCAACGCCGGAAAACUCACCGGGGGCGACAGCAAUAUGUAGGUCAAGCUAAAGACUUUACCAGAAUCGCUG